rnacentral:rRNA from 1 species
GUCCACGCCCUAAACGAUGUCAACUGGUUGUUGGGUCUUCACUGACUCAGUAACGAAGCUAACGCGUGAAGUUGACCGCCUGGGGGAGUACGGCCGCAAGGUUGAAACUCAAAAGGAAUUGACGGGGACCCGCACAAGCGGUGGAUGAUGUGGUUUAAUUCGAUGCAACGCGAAAAACCUUACCCACCUUUGACAUGUACGCAAUCCUUUAGAGAUAGAGGAGUGCUCGAAAGAGAGCCGUAACACAGGUGCUGCAUGGCUGUCGU